rnacentral:rRNA from 1 species
UACGUAGGGCGCAAGCGUUGUCCGGAAUUAUUGGGCGUAAAGAGCUCGUAGGUGGCUUGUUGCGUCUGCCGUGAAAGCCCGUGGCUUAACUACGGGUCUGCGGUGGAUACGGGCAGGCUAGAGGCUGGUAGGGGCAAGCGGAAUUCCUGGUGUAGCGGUGAAAUGCGCAGAUAUCAGGAGGAACACCCGUAGCGAAGGCAGCACUCUGGGCCGAUACUGACACUGAGGAGCGAAAGCGUGGGGAGCGAACAGG